GACGAACGCUGGCGGCGUGCCUAAUACAUGCAAGUUGAGCGCUGAAGGUUGGUACUUGUACCGACUGGAUGAGCAGCGAACGGGUGAGUAACGCGUGGGGAAUCUGCCUUUGAGCGGGGGACAACAUUUGGAAACGAAUGCUAAUACCGCAUAAAAACUUUAAACACAAGUUUUAAGUUUGAAAGAUGCAAUUGCAUCACUCAAAGAUGAUCCCGCGUUGUAUUAGCUAGUUGGUGAGGUAAAGGCUCACCAAGGCGAUGAUACAUAGCCGACCUGAGAGGGUGAUCGGCCACAUUGGGACUGAGACACGGCCCAAACUCCUACGGGAGGCAGCAGUAGGGAAUCUUCGGCAAUGGACGAAAGUCUGACCGAGCAACGCCGCGUGAGUGAAGAAGGUUGUCGGAUCGUAAAACUCUGUUGGUAGAGAAGAACGUUGGUGAGAGCGGAAAGCUCAUCAAGUGACGGUAACUACCCAGAAAGGGACGGCUAACUACGUG
rnacentral:rRNA from 1 species